UACAGAGGUCUCAAGCGUUGUUCGGAUUCAUUGGGCGUAAAGGGUGUGUAGGUGGCGCGCUAAGUCGGGUGUGAAAUUUCGGAGCUUAACUCCGAAACUGCAUUUGAUACUGGCGUGCUUGAGGACUGGAGAGGAGACUGGAAUUCAUGGUGUAGCAGUGAAAUGCGUAGAGAUCAUGAGGAAGACCAGUGGCGAAGGCGGUUCUCUGGGACGGUACUGACGCUGAGACGCGAAAGCGUGGGGAGCGAACAGG
rnacentral:rRNA from 1 species